UAAAGUAUGUACUGUACCAGAUAGAGUAAACAUUACUCAAUAGCAUGCAUUGAUUGUUGGCGUGGUGAACAGGUCAGAGGUCGACGACUGACUUCAC